GGGCCGGUAGCUCAGCUGGUAGAGCAACGCACUUUUAAUGCGUGGGUCACAGGUUCGAAUCCUGUCCGGCUCA
rnacentral:tRNA from 1 species